UUUGCUUGCUUGCGGGUUCUGUGAGGAAUGCCUACCAUACCAGACACAGGAUAAUUUUUGGUGCUAGCAAAGCUCUUAA